AAAUUGAAGAGUUUGAUCAUGGCUCAGAUUGAACGCUGGCGGCAGGCCUAACACAUGCAAGUCGAACGGUAGCACAGAGAGCUUGCUCUCGG
rnacentral:rRNA from 37 species